rnacentral:rRNA from 1 species
ACACUGUUCAUGGGUUACCGCGGCUGCUGGCACGGAGUUAGCCGGUGCUUCUUCUGUGAGUGAUGUCCUUCCUGCCGGCUAUUUAACCCCGCAGGCCUUCUUCCUCACUGAAAGUGCUUUACAACCCGAAGGCCUUCUUAACACACGCGGCAUGGCUGGAUCAGGGUUGCCCCCAUUGUCCAAUAUUCCCCACUGCUGCCUCCCGUAGGAUCUGGGCCGUGUCUNAGUCCCAGUGUGGCUGAUCAUCCUCUCAGACCAGCUACGGAUCGUCCGCCUUGGUGAGCCGUUACCUCACCAACCAGCUAAUCCGACAUAGGCUCAUCCGAUAGCGCGAGGCCCGAAGGUCCCCC